UCGGGGCCUGGCCCUGGGCCUGGGAAAACCUUCCGCCCGCUUACAGCUCCAGGCAACGUGUUCGGGCGUGCCACGGCGAGUGUUUGGAUCACCAGACGGUCCCCACCGACCGAGUGCACCCUCCUCGCCCAGAGCCUCCCGUUGGAUACUUUGGGGAGAAGGGCAUUGGAGAAUCAGUCAAGAGCAAAUCCUACAGUAAACACAAGGAGUAUUGCCCGAGGUUGCAGACAGUGCUGUGCUUUUGGGCAAGUGUGAUUUGAAAGCACCAAGGAAUACCUUAAUUCCAACUGAGGAUUCAGGCCAAGGGCUUACUGGAAGACAUCUGAAAAUAGCUCCUGAGGAGUGCUAGCAGGUGGGCAGAACUCAAGAGCCUGAGCAAGCACUAUUCUGGAGAUGGAAGAAGCAGAUGGUGUCUGAAAGGGCCAUUUACAAAUCACAAGGUUCCAGCCCAGAUUCUUGGCUAGAGCUUCAGCCAAAGCAUGAAGAAGCCAAUGGUAAGAGCAAGACAGGCGCUAGGCCAGGAAUGGUCUAACCCAGUGACCAAAACAGGGACCUGGCACAACAGGCAAGGGAGUCAAACAGGCAUAACAUGUAAGAGAGAGGAUACCUAGGUGCCAAAACUAGGUGCAAGAUCAUUUGCCAAAUCUCAGCAGGUUGUGGGGAAGAAUCCAUGGCACUAAAUCUCAGGUCAGCAAGAAGAUGACCUGCCAUUGAACUGGAAGGGAUUGAGGCUACUAUUGUAAUUUUUCCCUCCUAUAUUUGAUCUUGGAGCCCAGCCACAGAAAACAAAAGCAAUGAAAAUGUUUAUCAGUGACCUCAGGUGGUGAUUCAUCUGUUGUUACAGAAUGCCUCUUUCCUUCCAGCCACCUUUAUCAGUCUUAAUAGAUUUUAUCUGAGACAUUAUCAAAAAGUAAUACAUUUAAUGAAACCAGGCUCUUUUGCCAAGAAGAAAUGAUGAAUGUUAAAUCUUCAACUAAUACAAAAUAAACAUAAUGUAAUACUGA